GACAGAGGGUGCAAGCGUUAUCCGGAUUCACUGGGUUUAAAGGGUGCGUAGGUGGGAAUGUAAGUCAGUGGUGAAAUCUCUGAGCUUAACUCAGAAACUGCCAUUGAUACUAUGUUUCUUGAAUUUUCCGGAGGUCAGCGGAAUAUGUCAUGUAGCGGUGAAAUGCUUAGAUAUGACAUAGAACACCAAUUGCGAAGGCAGCUGGCUACAGGGAUAUUGACACUGAGGCACGAAAGCGUGGGGAUCAAACAGG
rnacentral:rRNA from 1 species